rnacentral:rRNA from 1 species
UACGUAGGGUGCAAGCGUUAAUCGGAAUUACUGGGCGUAAAGCGUGCGCAGGCGGCUUUGCAAGACAGAUGUGAAAUCUCCGGGCUUAACCUGGGAACUGCAUUUGUGACUGCAUGGCUAGAGUGCGGCAGAGGGGGAUGGAAUUCCGCGUGUAGCAGUGAAAUGCGUAGAUAUGCGGAGGAACACCGAUGGCGAAGGCAAUCCCCUGGGCCUGCACUGACGCUCAUGCACGAAAGCGUGGGGAGCAAACAGG